UUCCAGACUCCUACGGGAGGCAGCAGUGAGGAAUAUUGGUCAAUGGGCGUAAGCCUGAACCAGCCAAGUCGCGUGAGGGAUGAAGGAUCUAUGGUUCGUAAACCUCUUUUAUAAGGGAAUAAAGUGCGGGACGUGUCCUGUUUUGUAUGUACCUUAUGAAUAAGGAUCGGCUAACUCCGUGCCAGCAGCCGCGGUAAUACGGAGGAUCCGAGCGUUAUCCGGAUUUAUUGGGUUUAAAGGGUGCGUAGGCGGCCUUUUAAGUCAGCGGUGAAAGUCUGUGGCUCAACCAUAGAAUUGCCGUUGAAACUGGGGGGCUUGAGUAUGUUUGAGGCAGGCGGAAUGCGUGGUGUGGCGGUGAAAUGCAUAGAUAUCACGCAGAACGCCGAUUGCGAAGGCAGCUUACCGGCGCUCAACUGACGCUGAGGCACGAAAGUGCGGGUAUCGAACAGGAUUAGAUACCCUCGUA
rnacentral:rRNA from 1 species